rnacentral:rRNA from 1 species
UACAGAGGGGGCCAGCGUUAUUCGGAAUUAUUGGGCGUAAAGGGUGCGUAGGCGGUGCCGUAAGUCGGAUGUGAAAUCCCGGGGCUUAACCCCGGAACUGCAUUCGAUACUGCGGUGCUCGAGGACUGGAGAGGAGAUUGGAAUUCACGGUGUAGCAGUGAAAUGCGUAGAUAUCGUGAGGAAGACCAGUGGCGAAGGCGGAUCUCUGGACAGUUCCUGACGCUGAGGCACGAAGGCCAGGGGAGCAAACGGG